UGCUAGGCUUGACCGGGACGUUCGGCGUGUCCUUGUACACCGAAAUCGUCGACAGCGGGGGUGACAGCAGGAGACGUCGUAAACGGGGCGGUGAAGGCCCUUUCGUCGACAGUGAGGCUCUGUCCUUCGGGGCUGGUGGCAGUAUCGUGGUGCCGCUGGAGGGCGGCAUCCCUUGCUCUGAUCAUGGGGAAAGGGUCAGGCCCUGACGGGAGCAGCCUAACCGUGGACUACCGACGCUCGAAGGGUCACGGGGCUGAGAAGGCGAUCGGACAACCUUCAUCGGACCGAGCGGCAACUCCUGCGGCCUAGCA
rnacentral:SRP_RNA from 1 species